UACGUAGGGGGCUAGCGUUGUCCGGAAUCAUUGGGCGUAAAGCGCGUGUAGGCGGCCCGGUAAGUCCGCUGUGAAAGUCGGGGGCUCAACCCUCGAACGCCGGUGGAUACUGUCGGGCUCGAGUACGGAAGAGGCGAGUGGAAUUCCUGGUGUAGCGGUGAAAUGCGCAGAUAUCAGGAGGAACACCUAUUGCGAAGGCAGCUCGCUGGGACGUAACUGACGCUGAGACGCGAAAGCCAGGGGAGCGAACGGG
rnacentral:rRNA from 1 species